AUGCAGAAAGCGUAUUUCAGUGGUUCAAAAUCUCCUUCACAAAAUUUUGUUAACGUUCUCCUUCUCAAAUUUUUCUGUACCUUCUUCAUCUUCUUUCCUUUCUCCAUGAAUAUGAAUCAUUCAUCUUCCCCAAAGAACCUCUGUCAAUCUGAAAGUGUUGGAUCAUGUGUAUACAGUAACUCACGGAUUGCACCACUUUGUCGUUGCGGAGACAACGCUGUUCUUCGUAGGGCAACCACUGAGAAGAAUUAUGGAAAGAAAUUUUGGGGUUGUCACAAUUACAAGGCUCCUUGCAAAGAGGGUGUGGCUUCUUCCAUUGGUGUCACGAGGAAUUGGCAGAGGAAUUGGCAGAAGUCAUAA